GUUGAAGAACGCAGCGAAAUGCGAUAAGUAGUGUGAAUUGCAGAAUUCAGUGAAUCAUCGAAUCUUUGAACGCACAUUGCGCCCUUUGGUAUUCCAAAGGGCAUGCCUGUUCGAGCGUCAUUUGUACCCUCAAGCUUUGCUUGGUGUUGGGCGUCUUGUCUCUAGCUUUGCUGGAGACUCGCCUUAAAGUAAUUGGCAGCCGGCCUACUGGUUUCGGAGCGCAGCACAAGUCGCACUCUCUAUCAGCAAAGGUCUAGCAUCCAUUAAGCCUUUUUUUCAACUUUUGACCUCGGAUCAGGUAGGGAUACCCGCUGAACUUAAGCAUAUCAAUAAGCGGAGGA
rnacentral:misc_RNA from 1 species